rnacentral:rRNA from 1 species
CCCCUAGUAACGGCGAGUGAAGAGGGAAAAGCUCAAAUUUUGAAUCUGGUGUCUUUGACUCCCGAGUUGUAAUCUAGAGAAGUGUUUUCCGCGUUGGACCGUGUACAAGUUCCCUGGAACGGGGCGUCAUAGAGGGUGAGAAUCCCGUAUAUGCCACGGACUGCCGAUGCUCUGUGAUACACUCUCAACGAGUCGAGUUGUUUGGGAAUGCAGCUCAAAAUGGGUGGUAAAUUCCAUCUAAAGCUAAAUAUUGGCGAGAGACCGAUAGCGAACAAGUACCGUGAGGGAAAGAUGAAAAGCACUUUGGAAAGAGAGUGAAACAGUACGUGAAAUUGUUGAAAGGGAAGCGUUUGAAGUCAGUCACGUCUGUCGGAAUUCAGCCUGGCUUCUGCCUGGUGUACUUUCCGUCCGACGGGUCAGCAUCAAUUUCGACCGAGGGAAAAAGRCGUGAGGAAUGUGGCUGUCUCCGGGCAGUGUUAUAGCCUCGCGUUGUAUGUCUCGGUUGGGAUUGAGGAACGCAGCGCGCCUAUUGGCCGGGGGUUCGCGCCCCUCGGUACGCGCUUAGGAUGCUGGCAUAAUGGYUUUAAVCGACCCGUCUUGAAACACGGACCAAGGAGUCUAACAUGUGCGCGAGUGUUUGGGUGUCAAACCC